rnacentral:rRNA from 1 species
UACGGGGGGGGGCAAGCGUUGUUCGGAAUUACUGGGCGUAAAGGGCUCGUAGGCGGCCAACUAAGUCGGAUGUGAAAUCCCCAGGCUUAACCUGGGAACUGCAUCCGAUACUGGAUGGCUUGAAUUCGGGAGAGGGAUGCAGAAUUCCAGGUGUAGCGGUGAAAUGCGUAGAUAUCUGGAGGAAUACCGGUGGCGAAGGCGGCAUCCUGGACCGACAUUGACGCUGAUGCGCGAAAGCCAGGGGAGCAAACGGG